GUCGAACGAUGAAAGCCGGAGCUUGCUCUGGCUGGAUUAGUGGCGAACGGGUGAGUAACACGUGAGUAACCUGCCCCAGACUCUGGGAUAAGCGCUGGAAACGGCGUCUAAUACCGGAUACGAGCUUCAGCCGCAUGGCUAGGAGCUGGAAAGAAUUUCGGUCUGGGAUGGACUCGCGGCCUAUCAGCUAGUUGGUGAGGUAACGGCCCACCAAGGCGACGACGGGUAGCCGGCCUGAGAGGGUGACCGGCCACACUGGGACUGAGACACGGCCCAGACUCCUACGGGAGGCAGCAGUGGGGAAUAUUGCACAAUGGGCGCAAGCCUGAUGCAGCAACGCCGCGUGAGGGACGACGGCCUUCGGGUUGUAAACCUCUUUUAGUAGGGAAGAAGCGAAAGUGACGGUACCUGCAGAAAAAGCACCGGCUAACUACGUGCCAGCAGCCGCGGUAAUACGUAGGGUGCAAGCGUUAUCCGGAAUUAUUGGGCGUAAAGAGCUCGUAGGCGGUUUGUCGCGUCUGCUGUGAAAACUGGAGGCUCAACCUCCAGCCUGCAGUGGGUACGGGCAGACUAGAGUGCGGUAGGGGAGAUUGGAAUUCCUGGUGUAGCGGUGGAAUGCGCAGAUAUCAGGAGGAACACCGAUGGCGAAGGCAGAUCUCUGGGCCGUAACUGACGCUGAGGAGCGAAAGCAUGGGGAGCGAACAGGAUUAGAUACCCUGGUAGUCCAUGCCGUAAACGUUGGGAACUAGAUGUAGGGUCCAUUCCACGGAUUCUGUGUCGCAGCUAACGCAUUAAGUUCCCCGCCUGGGGAGUACGGCCGCAAGGCUAAAACUCAAAGGAAUUGACGGGGGCCCGCACAAGCGGCGGAGCAUGCGGAUUAAUUCGAUGCAACGCGAAGAACCUUACCAAGGCUUGACAUAUACGAGAACGGGCUAGAAAUAGUCAACUCUUUGGACACUCGUAAACAGGUGGUGCAUGGUUGUCGUCAGCUCGUGUCGUGAGAUGUUGGGUUAAGUCCCGCAACGAGCGCAACCCUCGUUCUAUGUUGCCAGCACGUAAUGGUGGGAACUCAUAGGAGACUGCCGGGGUCAACUCGGAGGAAGGUGGGGAUGACGUCAAAUCAUCAUGCCCCUUAUGUCUUGGGCUUCACGCAUGCUACAAUGGCCGGUACAAAGGGCUGCAAUACCGUAAGGUGGAGCGAAUCCCAAAAAGCCGGUCUCAGUUCGGAUUGAGGUCUGCAACUCGACCUCAUGAAGUCGGAGUCGCUAGUAAUCGCAGAUCAGCAACGCUGCGGUGAAUACGUUCCCGGGCCUUGUACACACCGCC
rnacentral:rRNA from 1 species